AUAUUUUUCCGUUCCAUAUAUUUGUCGCUCGCUCUCUCUUAAAAGCCACACGUGUACAGAGUUAUUCCUAAUUGACGACUCGACGGCGGGUCCAGAUGAACGACUGAGGCAGAGAGAUGCGUUGGGAUUUCUGAGCACGUAGAGCCGACUGAGGUUGUGCAGCGUCACAGUGCACCCUGAAACUGAGAGACAAGAUUGAUCAUCUUGAAGCUCUUCAACACAGUAGGGAGCGUCGAUUUCUCUUUUUUUCCUUCCUGUCUGGCCGCUGUGCACCCACCCUCCCCCCAAUCCGCUGCUCUGCUUUAUUGGGCCGCCGAGCCCCCCGCAGGGUCGCCGAACCCCCCGCCGCCGGAUAUAUGUUUUUAUUUAUACAUUUUCUGUAGAAAUAAAAAAAACAGAAGUGAAAUGUAACAUGAUUGUAUUGUCGAGUUGUACAAGACAUUCCUCAAGCUUAGUCCCUGUUCAUAGUCAAAUCUGCAGGUGAUAUAUAUAUAUAUAUAUAUAUAUAUAUAUAUCCUGGAUCAAAAUUGUUGUUAGAGCGUACUGUUUGUGUCAAAUAAAUAAAACAUGCCAGACCUGUGGUAGGCAUGGCUCUUAUUUUCAUUAUAGAAAGAUGGCAACCGUAAUGUUAACCCUGGGUAGAGAGUUAAUGAAAAGUCUAGUAACGUAAGCUGGUUUGAGAGAAGUCUAUUAGAGAAACCCUGACAGUUCCACAGUGACAGACUAGAGGGCGCUCCCAAUCAUUUAUUUUACUGCUAAUGACAUGAGAGUGACUACUCAGGUUUGCAAAGAUUUAACCCUAAUAAACUUACCCUUUACCCUCUAACUGUCUGUGUUGAUCUGCUAAUGACAGAGAGCUAAUUAAACACUUGUGUGUGCUCAGUUUUAAGUUUGCGUAUACCGAUAAUUAUGCAAGUCAUCUUUGUUUUGCCCUUUAAGUGUUCAUGAAGUCCAUAGAACAUGGAUAUACAGUACAUAUAGCAACAAGGACACGAGUUACUUUGACCUUUUCUCAAAUACUUAUAGGCACCAUUCAAUCCUCUUACUCCCCUGUCCAUAUAUGACCCAGAGGAAGGAGGAAUAAACCCUAAUCACACUCCCCUUAUCCAGUCAGUCAUUCAGAUCUCCUUCCACCUCCCCUAUAAUAACAUGGGCGGAGAGACUCCAGUGGUGAAACUGAUGUAGAACAGGAUAACAACUUAGUUGGCAAAAAAAAAAAAAACUAACUUCUCUGUCACGUGCUAUGUUAUUAAUAUAAAAAAUGUAAUCAUGGAUGUAAACUCCACAUUGAAACCGAAUUUUAAUUACUCCUUAAAGUUUGAGAGCUUUGGCAACCUGGAGGCAGAUUAGCAGAGGCUUCUCUUCCUGUGACCUGCUUUCCUGGGUAACUCAUGAAGUGACGUGGAAAUAAGCUCUUUUGAAGCUAAAGCCAAUUUACCCCCACAGAUUAUGGCCGAUCUGUCUGGACAGGCUAAAGAUACAGUAGAGCCUCUC